rnacentral:rRNA from 1 species
AGCAGCCGCGGUAAUUCCAGCUCCAAUAGCGUAUAUUAAAGUUGUUGCAGUUAAAAGCUCGUAGUUGAAUUUCGGGAUCAAUUUAUCGGUCGUGCCUACGGUAUGAACUGGUACAAUUGGUUUCUCCCUUCUGACGAAGCAUGAUGCCAUUAAUUUGGUGUCGUGGGGAAUCAGGACUGUUACUUUGAAAAAAUUAGAGUGUUUAAAGCAAGCAUUAGCUUGAAUACAUUAGCAUGGAAUAAUGAAAUAGGACGUUUGAUCCUAUUUCGUUGGUUUCUAGGAUCGACGUAAUGAUUAAUAGGGAUAGUUGGGGGCAUUAGUAUUCAAUUGUCAGAGGUGAAAUUCUUGGAUUUAUUGAAGACUAACUACUGCGAAAGCAUUUGCCAAGGAUGUUUUCAUUAAUCAAGAACGAAAGUUAGGGAUCGAAGACGAUCAGAUACCGUGUAGUCU